AGGGAUUUGGCUCAGUGGCAUUAGCACCUGCCUGGCAAGCAUGAGGUUGUGAGUCCAAUCCCUG
rnacentral:tRNA from 1 species